rnacentral:snRNA from 1 species
UCAACAUCCAUCAUCCAUGUC